rnacentral:rRNA from 1 species
GAUGAACGCUAGCGGCAGGCCUAACACAUGCAAGUCGAGGGGCAGCACAGAAACAGCAAUGUUUUGGUGGCGACCGGCGGACGGGUGCGUAACGCGUAUGCAACCUACCUUUAACAGGGGGAUAACGGAGAGAAAUUUCCACUAAUACCCCAUAACAUCGAUCAAGGCAUCUUGAUUGGUUGAAAACUCCGGUGGUUAAAGGUGGGCAUGCGUUGUAUUAGGUAGUUGGUGAGGUAAUGGGUCACCAAGACUACGAUACAAAGGGGGACGGAGAGGUUAGCCCCCCACACUGGUAAUGGGACACGGAACAGACUCCUACGGGAGGCAGCAAUGAGGAAUAUUGGUCAAUGGGGGCAACCCUGAACCAGCCAUGCCGCGUGCAGGAAGACGGCUCUACGAGUUGUAAACUGCUUUUAAACAGGGAUAAAGCACAGUAUGUAUACUGUGUUGAAGGUACUGUAAGAAUAAGGAUCGGCUAACUCCGUGCCAGCCGCCGCGGUAA